rnacentral:rRNA from 1 species
AUUGAACGCUGGCGGCAUGCCUUACACAUGCAAGUCGAACGGUAACGGGCCUUCGGGUGCCGACGAGUGGCGAACGGGUGAGUAAUGUAUCGGAACGUACCUUUCAGUGGGGGAUAACGUAGCGAAAGUUACGCUAAUACCGCAUAUUCUGUGAGCAGGAAAGCAGGGGAUCGCAAGACCUUGCGCUGAUUGGGCGGCCGAUAUCAGAUUAGCUAGUUGGUGAGGUAAAGGCUCACCAAGGCGACGAUCUGUAGCGGGUCUGAGAGGAUGAUCCGCCACACGGGAACUGAGGCACGGUCCAGACUCCUACGGGAGGCAGCAGUGGGGAAUUUUGGACAAUGGGGGCAACCCUGAUCCAGCCAUGCCGCGUGAGUGAAGAAGGCCUUCGGGUUGUAAAGCUCUUUCGGCCGGGAAGAAAUCGUAUCAGCUAAUACCUGGUGCGGAUGACGGUACCGGCAUAAGAAGCACCGGCUAACUACGUGCCUGCAGCCGCGGUAAGAC